AAAACCAAGAAAAAAAGAAAAUUAUAUCAUAAAAUUACACCUUCAUCAGAAGAUUCACAGGAUUCAAUCGAAUCGGAAUCAGAAAUAGCCAGUCCAGCGGAAAAAAUACUAAAAUUGAAUCCAAAAAAAUCGAAAAACUGUUCUAACCAAAGAACCUAGUUUGCUACAAAAACCACAGAAUAUAACACCUUUUUUUGAAGAAUAAACUAUUUCUUAUCCAACGAUGAGUGAUCAGCCUUCUAUCUCUACUGCAAGUUAUACGUCAUCAAAUCUCGAAUCGUCUCAAGUUUCAAAAAAGCAGACGUCAAAGUCUUCAUCUGUCACUGAUAUGGACAUUGAAAAUGAAGACUGUGUCCUCAGUCUCGUAAAAAAAGUAUAUCGCAGCUUAAAAGCAAAAAUAAACAUCAUUCAAAAGCAGUUAAUUCAACAAAAAAAAUGAAAUAAAUCAAAUUCAAAAAUAUUUGAACACUGGUUCAUCGGCACUAUUGUUUGAAGCAGAAGAACUUGAAACAGAUAAUGGUUUUUUGUUGCCGUGUUCCACGUAUGAAAUGUUUAACAAUUUGGAGGAGAAAUUAAAAAAUAAUAAAGAUUUCGGCAAAAAAUAAAAUUUGAUUUACUUCGGUCGGUGGAUUGCAAAAAGUCGAUGACUCGAAAUAUUGGAGAAAUAAUCCAAAAAUUUUUGUGUCAAGAGGUAGCUAAAGGCUUUACUAUUGUAAAAUUAGUACCAAAAAAAAAAGUAUUUAAAAAUACAACCUUAUAUAGUUGUAUCGAAGAUAUUAUCUCGCAUUCUUUUAAAAAAGAUAAUGUGCUACCAUCUAAAAAAGAAAUACAAGACUCAGUACAAGUCAUAUUUAAUAAUGUGAAGGAUUGGAACGGUGCGCGCCAAAAACGUCACAACAUGACAGAAUAAAAUUUAAUAAUCCUUUGUUUACUUUGUUUAAUUGUUGUGUUUUUUUUCUAUUUAUAAAAUAUUAUA